AACGAACGCUGGCGGCAUGCUUAACACAUGCAAGUCGAACGAGAAGGCCGGGCCUAGGUGCGGUCGGCGGCGUGAGGAGUGGGGAGUAACACGUGGGUACGGAGUCCCUGCCUGAGGGGGAACUUAAGGCCGGUGAAGCUAUUCGGACCAAGGAUCUACUGCUGUUUGGUGGGGGUUGGAAGGUUUCGGCGGUUGGGGAUGGACUCGCGGUUGAUCAGCUUGUUGGUGGGGUAGUGGCUUACCAAGGCCAUGACGGGUAGCCGGGCUGAGAGGGUGACCGGCCACAUUGGGACUGAGAUACGGCCCAGACUCCUACGGGAGGCAGCAGUGGGGAAUAUUGCACAAUGGGCGGAAGCCUGAUGCAGCAACGCCGCGUGCGGGAUGACGGCCUUCGGGUUGUAAACCGCUUUCGCCUGUGACGAAGCGUGAGUGACGGUAAUGGGUAAAGAAGCACCGGCUAACUACGUG
rnacentral:rRNA from 1 species